rnacentral:rRNA from 1 species
GACGAACGCUGGCGGCGUGCUUAACACAUGCAAGUCGAACGGAAAGGCCCUGCUCUUGCUGGGUGCUCGAGUGGCGAACGGGUGAGUAACACGUGAGUAACCUGCCCUUGACUUUGUGAUAACUUCAGGAAACUGGGGCUAAUACCGGAUAGGAGCUCCUGCUGCAUGGUGGGGGUUGGAAAGUUUCGGCGGUUGGGGAUGGACUCGCGGCUUAUCGGCUUGUUGGUGGAGUAGUGGCUUACCAAGGCUUCGACGGGUAGCCGGCCUGAGAGGGUGACCGGCGACAAUGGGACUGAGAUACGGCGCAGAAGCCUACGGGAGGCAGCAGUGGAGAGUAUUGCGCAGUGGGCGGAAGCCUGAUGCAGCGGCGUCGCGUGCGGGAUAACGGCCUUCGGGUUGUAAACCGCUUUGGCAUGUGACGAAGCGUGAGUGACGGUAAUGGGUAAAGAAGCACCGGCUAACUACGUG